ACCCGCUGAACUUAAGCAUAUCAAUAAGCGGAGGAAAAGAAACCAACAGGGAUUGCCCUAGUAACGGCGAGUGAAGCGGCAACAGCUCAAAUUUGAAAUCUGGCGUCUUUGGCGUCCGAGUUGUAAUUUGCAGAGGGCGCUUUGGCAUUGGCAGCGGUCCAAGUUCCUUGGAACAGGACGUCACAGAGGGUGAGAAUCCCGUACGUGGUCGCUAGCCUUUACCGUGUAAAGCCCCUUCGACGAGUCGAGUUGUUUGGGAAUGCAGCUCUAAAUGGGAGGUAAAUUUCUUCUAAAGCUAAAUAUUGGCCAGAGACCGAUAGCGCACAAGUAGAGUGAUCGAAAGAUGAAAAGCACUUUGGAAAGAGAGUCAAACAGCACGUGAAAUUGUUGAAAGGGAAGCGCUUGCAGCCAGACUUGCUUACAGUUGCUCAUCCGGGCUUUUGCCCGGUGCACUCUUCUGUAGGCAGGCCAGCAUCAGUUUGGGCGGUAGGAUAAAGGUCUCUGUCACGUACCUCUCUUCGGGGAGGCCUUAUAGGGGAGACGACAUACUACCAGCCUGGACUGAGGUCCGCGCAUCUGCUAGGAUGCUGGCGUAAUGGCUGU
rnacentral:rRNA from 1 species